GUUGUGAGCACUUUUUGAGUGGGAAUAUCUGCUCCCUGUUAGAUCUCACCCACCAGAAAAACUUGUGGUACUCAAAAAUACUGGUACUACUUGUCACAUGAAUUCUGUGAUCCAACAGCCACAUAUAUAGUUUCCACCAGAAACAGUAUUCCUGCAAUUGAAUGCAUAGGUAAAAAUAUAGACUAUGAUUUUUCAAACAUGAGAAGCAGAACAGUUAGUAAUGUUGGUACCCAACAUAAUUUACUAGAAUAUUUUUAUUAAUUUGAAGACAAACCAAAGUUAAAUAACACAGGAGAUAGAAAAGAGUACAAUAUUCAUGUCCUAAGACAGCUUCAAGACAUCUUUGUUCAUUUAGCUGUUUCCAAACUACAGUCCUAUGUACUGAAGGAAUUUUGGUAACAGUUAAG
rnacentral:lncRNA from 10 species